AGUCACGUGGUCUAAUGGUUAUGAUUUCUCGUUCACAAUCAAAGUGAGCUUCUUCAAGGAUACCGAGAAGGUUCCCGGUUCGAUCCCGGGCGUGACUA